ensembl:snRNA U6 U6 spliceosomal RNA
GUGCCUAUUUUGGUAGCACAGAUACUAAAAUUGAAAUGUUAGAGAGAUUAGCACAGUCUCUGCACAAGGAGUGACAUGCAAAUUUGUGAAUCAUUCUAUAUUGGA